AACGUAGGUGGCGAGCGUUAUCCGGAUUUACUGGGCGUAAAGCGUGUGCAGGCGGAUGGACAAGUGGUGUAUGAAAUCGCUCGGCUAAACCGGGCGGGGUUAUGCCAGACUGUUCAUCUGGAGUGCGAGAGAGGGGCGUGGAAUUCCGGGUGUAGUGGUGAAAUGCUUAGAUAUGACAUAGAACACCGAUAGCGAAGGCAGCUUGCUACACAAUUAUUGACACUGAGGCUCGAAAGCGUGGGGAUCAAACAGG
rnacentral:rRNA from 1 species